rnacentral:rRNA from 1 species
AGCAGCCGCGGUAAUUCCAGCUCCAAUAGCGUAUAUUAAAGUUGUUGCAGUUAAAAAGCUCGUAGUUGAAUUUCGGGGUCAGUAGGUUGGUCAUGCCACUGGUAUGUACUGGCCUCACUGAUUCCUCCUUCCUGAUGAGCCGUAAUGCCAUUAAUUUGGUGUUGCGAGGAAUCUGGACUGUUACUUUGAAAAAUUAGAGUGUUUAAAGCAAGCUAACGCUUGAAUACAUUAGCAUGGAAUAAUGAAAUAGGACGCUUGAUCCUAUUUUGUUGGUUUCUAGGAUCGACGUAAUGAUUAAUAGGGAUAGUUGGGGGCAUUAGUAUUCAAUUGUCAGAGGUGAAAUUCUUGGAUUUAUUGAAGACUAACUACUGCGAAAGCAUUUGCCAAGGAUGUUUUCAUUAAUCAAGAACGAAAGUUAGGGGAUCGAAGACGAUCAGAUACCGUCGUAGUCUUAACCAUAAACUAUGCCGACUAGGGAUCGGAUGAUGUUAAUUUUUUAAUGUACU